UACGUAGGCAGCAAGCGUUGUUCGGAAUUACUGGGCGUAAAGGGUGCGUAGGUGGUUGGCUAAGUUUGGUGUGAAAUCUCCCGGCUCAACUGGGAGGGUGCGCCGAAAACUGGCCGGCUAGAGUGUGGGAGAGGGAAGUGGAAUUCCUGGUGUAGCGGUGAAAUGCGUAGAUAUCAGGAGGAACACCUGCGGUGUAGACGGCUUCCUGGACCAUUACUGACACUGAUGCACGAAAGCGUGGGUAGCAAACAGGAUUAGAUACCCUGGUAGUCCACGCCCUAAACGAUGCGGACUUGGUGUUCGCCCUUCAUUGGGUGAGUGCCGUAGUUAACACGUUAAGUCCGCCGCCUGGGGAGUACGGUCGCAAGGCUGAA
rnacentral:rRNA from 1 species